rnacentral:rRNA from 1 species
GCCGGCGAGUGGCGAACGGGUGAGUAAUGUAUCGGAACGUACCUUUCAGUGGGGGAUAACGUAGCGAAAGUUACGCUAAUACCGCAUAUUCUCUGAGGAGGAAAGCAGGGGACCUUCGGGCCUUGCGCUGAUGGAGCGGCCGAUAUCAGAUUAGCUAGUUGGUGGGGUAAAGGCUCACCAAGGCUACGAUCUGUAGCGGGUCUGAGAGGAUGAUCCGCCACACUGGGACUGAGACACGGCCCAGACUCCUACGGGAGGCAGCAGUGGGGAAUUUUGGACAAUGGGCGAAAGCCUGAUCCAGCCAUGCCGCGUGAGUGAAGAAGGCCUUCGGGUUGUAAAGCUCUUUCGGACGGGAAGAAAUCAUGAGGGCUAAUAUCCCUUGUGGAUGACGGUACCGUAAUAAGAAGCACCGGCUAACUACGUGCCAGCAGCCGCGGUAAUACGUAGGGUGCGAGCGUUAAUCGGAAUUACUGGGCGUAAAGCGUGCGCAGGCGGUUUUGUAAGACAGGCGUGAAAUCCCCGGGCUCAACCUGGGAACUGCGCUUGUGACUGCAUCACUUGAGUACGGCAGAGGGGGGUGGAAUUCCACGUGUAGCAGUGAAAUGCGUAGAGAUGUGGAGGAACACCGAUGGCGAAGGCAGCCCCCUGGGUCGAUACUGACGCUCAUGCACGAAAGCGUGGGUAGCAAACAGGAUUAGAUACCCUGGUAGUCCACGCCCUAAACGAUGUCAACUAGGUGUUGGGUGGGUAAAACCAUUUAGUACCGUAGCUAACGCGUGAAGUUGACCGCCUGGGGAGUACGGCCGCAAGGUUAAAACUCAAAGGAAUUGA